CCCUUAGAUGUCCUGGGCUGCACGCGCGCUACACUGGAAGUUACGGAUUGAGAUACUACCUUGUCCGAAAUGGUCCGGGUAAUCACCUAAAAGCUUGUCAUAAUUGGAAUGGAUUAUUGUAACUAGUAAUCCUGAACGAGGAAUUCCUAGUAAGUCCCAGUCAACAGCUGGUACUGAUUACGUCCCUGCCCUUUGUACACACCGCCCGUCGCUACUACUGAUUGGGUGUUCAAGUGAGAUGCUUAGACCCUUGUUGCAUGGUUCAUUAUUGUGCUCCGAAAGGAAAAAGUUUCAAGCUUGAGUGUCUAGAGGAAGUAAAAGUCGUAACA
rnacentral:rRNA from 1 species